rnacentral:rRNA from 1 species
UACGUAGGGUGCAAGCGUUACUCGGAAUUACUGGGCGUAAAGCGUGCGUAGGUGGUUCGUUAAGUCUGAUGUGAAAGCCCUGGGCUCAACCUGGGAAUGGCAUUGGAUACUGGCGACCUAGAGUGCGGUAGAGGGUGGCGGAAUUCCCGGUGUAGCAGUGAAAUGCGUAGAUAUCGGGAGGAACAUCCGUGGCGAAGGCGGCCACCUGGACCAGCACUGACACUGAGGCACGAAAGCGUGGGGAGCAAACAGG